rnacentral:lncRNA from 1 species
GUGAGGGGAAAAACGGUCUGUCUAGUUACUGGACCAGAUGAAAUGAGACGGAGAGGUAAUAAAGUCUGUCGGCACGAGGACCUUGGAUUUAUUAAGUAAAGUGGCAACGGUUAUACAGAGUCAUAAAGCAUGAGAAAUCGAAUAUGUCUAAGUCCCUAAUCAGCGCUGAUGGUUCGUCCAGAGCUUCGCCUCCGUGGAAGGUCUGCUUCAGAAGAAGAUGAAGAGUCCCUGUGUGAUAUAGUUUUAUGCUGUAUCCUCCUCUCGAUGAGGUGUGUGCGUUUGAGGUGUGUGUGGUUCUGUGUGUUUUUGCUUGGCCUUGGCUCCCAGGCCCUGGUGUGUAUCCUCCUCUCGAUGAGGUGUGUGCGUUUGAGGUGUGUGUGGUUCUGUGUGUUUUUGCUUGGCCUUGGCUCCCAGGCCCUGGUGUGUAUCCCUUGUGUUCUUCCUAACGGGGGAGAGCUUCGAAAUGUCUCCUGUGUGAUAAAUUAAUGUGGCUCUCAGGCCCUGGUAUAUGCCUCCUAAAGGGGGAGAGCUCCUCGUGUCUCCGGUGUGAUAAAUUAAAACGGGGGAGUGCCCCCCCCGAAGUGUCUCGUGUGUGAUAAUUUAAUGUGGCUCUCAGGCCCUUGGUAUGGGCAGGUGUUUCUCUUGGUUCCUUCUAACGGGGGAGAGCUUCAAAGUGUCUCCUGUGUGAUAAAUUAAUGUGGCUCUCCCGUUCUUGAGGAUGACUGGUGCAUUGUCUGAGUGUCCACCAUCUGCCAGCCUGGGAAAUGGGGCCUUCGGCUCCGGCCUUGACCUGACUAUAUAUUAUCAUGUUUGUGUUCGUUGGGUUAGAGCAAGAGUUGACUAUAUUGUAAUGUGUCUGCCAUGUGAUGUGCUCAUCAGGCUAGGGUAGGAGUUAGCUAUAUUUAUAAUGUACAUGUGAUGUACUCAGCAGGUUAUUUUGCCCAACAGUAGCCUCCCGAAGGCCUUCUCCACAACCGGCCCGGCUCGGGACGGACGGUCGCUGAACACCCGGCGCUCU